rnacentral:lncRNA from 1 species
UAUAUACUUCCAUGGAAAUAUUUGAUCUCUUAUGGCCAUAGAGAUAUUUGUCACCAAACUUAGUGCCAUAAAGGGCUGUUCAAACAUAUAUUAUGAACAUGCAUGCAUUUUAAUUAGUUUUCUCACAACUGCAAAUCUUGAAUUUUACUGUGCAGAUAUAGUAAAAUUCAGGAGCAUUUGUUCAGAGAUAACAAAUAAUAGUGGAAUGAGUGAUGGCAGUUGUGUAGGAAAAUAAAUAAUGAUGCUAAUGAAUGUAUUUUUGAUCUACAAAAUAAAUAAAAGCUGUAAAAUAAAAACUCUUAAAACCUGUGG